AUAAGUACAAGACGCAAAACUAAGAAAAAUAAUUUUUAAUAGUUAAAUUUAUUUAAAAAGCCCAUCAACUUUAAUUUGUGGUGGUGCAGAAGUUAGAUCUGAGAAGAGGGUUUUAAACUACAGUAGACCAAGACCAACUUAGAAGAAUAUCUCGAAGCUGUAGAGGGAAGUAAAUUUAAAAUCACAGCAAAAAGCUACUAAAAAGACUGAUGUAAAAAUUAAGGUAGACGGAAGAGUUAAAAAUUUGAAAGGCCUUAAAUCCAUACAGUAGUUUAGUUUCUUCUGGAAAACUUAAAGGACGAUAAAUUCAACAGCGAGGAUAACCAAGUUAACAUUUUUUGCAUUGGACUUUGAGCUAAGAUGAAUUUCUAAACCCUGAGGACUAGGCGCUAAUUAACAGCUGACCAGGUGCUACACAGAAGUGGAUUCAGAGAACCUAGGAAGACAGCAGCAGACAGGAUUCCAGGAGCCAGUUUUUGGUGAAACUAGGACUGAGGAGCGAGCGGCAGUUCGUGAAGAUAGGAAGGAGGAGCUCGGGAGCCAGUGCGAUUUGGUGAAGGAAGCUAGGAAGAAGGAAGGAGCCCUAACGGUUGGAGGUGAAGCUAGGAGAGGAUUCCAGGAAGGAGGAAGCCAGUGCGAUGUGGUGAUGAAGCUAGCGUGCGGCUUGGCGGCGUGGCUUGGCAACCCCGCGGAGGAGGCGAGCAGGCGGUGUGGAGGCUAGAUAGAGCGUCCUAGAGCGGCAGCCCAGUGUGCAAGGCCGGCAGGGAGAGCCAGUGGUGUGGUAAAAAUCCGUGAGGUCGGCAGUAUCGUGGGUUCUGCUUUGUUUCUUCACCUUUUUUUGGUAACAGUACGGUAAUCUUUGUUGUAUUUCCUAAUGGUGAUGGGGGAGCUGUGUACUUAAGCAUAAAGGGUUUUAUGGGGAUGUAGGCCGAUUUUCGGGUGUUGUAGGUUUCUCUUUUUCAGGCGUAUUUUCUCAUCUUGUCUGAAGCUUUUGAGGGCAGACUACCAAGGCCCGGAGGAAUAGUAGAUGGCAAGUGUUUUCGUUUUUAACCAAUAUGAGGGAAAACAAAUGAAUUUGAUAGAACAACCUUGAGACAGUUUCAGCCAGCUUUGUAAGCAGGUUUUAUAUUUAGCUUGGUAAUGAAGCAUUUCCGUUUUGUGAGUAGAUGACUUAAUUUUCUUUCUCAUUCUCUAUUCUAAGUUACCUAUAUAUAUAUAGUUGGGUGUGUAAUUCGGGGGGGUAAAGGUUUUGGGGGGGCAAAAUAUGUUUUGAGUUCUUUUCCCCUUAGGUCUGUCUAGAAUUCCAAAGGCAAAUGACUCAAGGUAACAGGAAAAAAGAAAAUCCAGUAUCAGGAUAAUCAGAACACCACAGGUUUACAGUUUGUAGAAACUAGAACACGAGCAGCUCUCACUUAAGGUCUGUGAUGGAACUCCAGUGGAGAAAUGGCUGGUACUUUUUCCACCCCUUAAUCAGAUUUUUUUUUAAUUAAAGUAUGUAACCGGUUAUUUUUACUUGAAGUAUUUUGGGGUGGUCUUAACAGGGAAGAGGGUGGGGGAGAAAAUGUUUGUUUCUAAGACUUUCCACAGAUGCUAUAGUACUAUUGACAAACUGAGUUAGAGAAGGAUUGUACUGCUAUGCUGUUGGCACCAAACACCUUCAGGGAUUGGAGCUGCUUUUUUCCUUGGAGUAUUCCCAGUGAAGCUGAAAUAUACAGCACAGUGCAGCUUUGGUUCAUAUUCAGUCAUCUCAGGAGAACUUCAGAAGAGCUUGACUAGGCCAAAUAUUGAAGUUAAGUUUUCAAAUAAUGGAACUUUUUAAGAUGCCUUUUAAAGGGGAGGGGCAAGUUUUGGCAAUUAGUUGGCAGUGGCCUGUUUUGGUUGGGGUUGGGUGGGUUGGGUUUAGGUAAUUGUUUAGUUUAUGAUUUCAGAUAACUCAUGCCAGAGAACUUAAAUACUUAGGAUGGAAAAACUAAAGAAAUCUCACCUCCCAAGUUGGCAAGUAACUCCUGAUCCUCUAGUUUCUUGUUUUACCCCAAUUUUUGAACUGGACAGCUGGGAACUUCAAAGAUUCACUGGAUUUAAAGUGUAGGGCUUGGGAAAGGAAAGUGUUGGAUUGGGGGUUGGUCUAGCCCACUGGGUUGACCAAGAUAAAAACUUGGGGAAUUGUUUAAACACUAAAGUUGUUUGGAUAUGGUAGUGUGUGGUUCUCUUUUGGAAUUUUUUUCAGGUGAUUUAAUAAAACUUAAUACUACUAUAGGAGCUUCAGAGCAAAGGAAGUGGCUUAAUGAUCCUGAAGGGAUUUCUUCUGAUGGUAGCUUUUAUAUUAUCAAGUAAGAUUCUAUUUUCAGUUACAUAAGCAAGUUUUUUAGUAUAGGAAAUUUUUGUAUGGCUGCGAGACAAGAUGUAAAGACUUUUUUCAGAUAACAUCUUCUGAGUCAUACCCAGCCUGGCAAUAUGAUGGCCUAGAUGGAGAGGGGAACAGCUCCUUGACAGGUUUCUCUAUCAGAAGAGUUGCUUCAUAUCAUCUGGGAGCAGAAAACAGCAGGCAGCUGUUCACAGAUAAGUUUAACUUGCAUCUGCAGUAUUGCAUGUUAGGGAUAAGUGCUAUGUUUAAUAAGAGCUGUGGAGGUCCUAGGUCCCUUACUCAAGGGAUCUCAGGAUUUUGAGGAAUUUUCCCAUCCAGCCUUUUAAAAUGAGACAGGCCUUAUGCCUGUGGGCUUCCAUGAUGGGCUAACUCACUUCACUCGAGGCAAGUAAUUCCUUAAAGCCUCUUGAGAUUAAUACCUUAAUAAUCAAGGAUAAUGUUGAUAAAAUAAAAAUUUGUUUAGCAUUGAUUCUUGAAAACCCUAUGAAAAGAUAGCAUAAUGUGCUGUUAACCAGAAUCAGAUAUGUUAACCUUGCUAAAAUUUAAAUGUUAUGUGUAUUGUGCAGAAAACCGUAAAAUCACUCAAAAUAAAAUACUUUAUUU
rnacentral:lncRNA from 1 species